GAAAAGCACCAGCUACAAGAGUUAUGGACAGAAGUACAAAAUGCAGAGUCAGACAGCUGGAUGUAUUCUGAAGAAAUACAGCAUGUUAAAUGAAAACAUUACUGUGUCAACUGCUACUCCUGAAACACAGACAAAGUUAGGAAGAUGACAUGUGCACUAGACCAGAGGGGAAAAAUGGCAACAGUCAGAUCAGUUCUGCUGGCCAUGACAUGAAGUGGAAAUGGGUGUCCCUAAUUAUGGAGAUGUCCCUUGAGAAUAGGGAAGCCUUUGAAUGAUGUGUCUGCUGUGCUGCCCAACAACAAUACUGAGAGCUGGAUGACACUGUUGGUGACCUUCAGCUUCUAAAGCACAAGCAAAUAAUACAAGGCUAUUCCUGUGCCACAAUAUGCCCUGACUAUUGCAUGGCUUGACUUGCUUUCUGAAACACCAACCAGCUGAUUUCUGAGGGAAACAAUGAGAGGCUGACAAGUCCUGGGCAUUAAGACAGCUUAAUGGGUCCCUGGCUGUUACACCCCGAGAGCAGGGUGGGCUGCUAGAGCCAAAAUUAAUCAUGUUUUGGCUGGGCCAUUUAUAGAAGUGUGGUUUGUGGUGAAAAUAAAAUAUCAAAUUAAUGAGAAUUGUAAAGCUGUAGAGUUAAAAAAUCUCUGUUUGUCUGUAUAGUGCAAACCUGGUCUGUGAGGUGAAAAUAAAAAGUACUGAUACAUACAUGUGUUAAAGGUUGUGGUUGAUGUUUAGGGAUCAAAAUUAUAAACCAGUAUACUGGACAUUUUAAGAGAAAAAUAAAUUAUGCUCUGUGUAAAUGAAUAGAACAUUAUUUCUGUCCUCCAUGAUGUCUUAUAAAACAGGUGAAUUUGCUCACAGGUUUUCAAAGAUGGCUCCCCCUCUCUUCAUCUUCCACCUGUUAUGUUAGGGAAGUGCAUGUUGGUGCCUUGCUUGCAAGGCUGCUCAGGAAAAACCUAAGUGUAAA